GCCAGACGCCAUCAUUGUGAGGUGGAAAGAAGAAAUGCUAACACGGUUCGCACUUUGUUGUCUACUAGUUUUUCUUCCACAUAGGGGAGAUGGCACAGAUAUUCGUUGUUCAUACGGAGAAACAGUACUGUGCGGAAGCGACGGUUCCACAUACUACGACCUGUGCGCCUUCCACACCAUGGAAGCGGUAAACCCUUACCUGGUCGUGGCCCACCAGGGCCCGUGCGACCACCAUCAUGUUUUCAACCAACGACUUCGAGGGCAGAUACCGAAAAUUCUAAGAUUAGGAAAAUUAUCGAAGAUGUUUUUAGCGCACAUCAUAAACUCGCAAAGACACCUAGGCGGAUUUAACUUCGAAAAUAAUGCGAUAUACACACAAGGGAACCAUAACCGUUUUGGAAUACACCUGGGUUAGAAUAACUCAAUAAAAAACAAUUUCUUAAAUGAUUUGUUUUAUUAAAAAAAACACUUCGAUCCUUUCCAUAUUCUCUUAAAUUUCAUAUAUUCAUCGUUGACAAAAUUCGACGUUUCUUUUUGUUUAUAAAUAAAUACUAGUAAAGCUAUAGAAAAGUUACUUGCUUACUGUAUACAUAAUAUAUUUGUAAUAACGAAAAAAUAUUUAUUACUUAAUAACCGUUCUAAUAUUUUAAAAAUAUAGUGAUUUCCUCCGGAUAAUUUCAUCAUACAUCGAUCGACUCAUUCUAUCAAUUAACUCCAUUAGUUUUGUACGUUACGCUCGAUUACGCAAUUAU